CUCGAAGAUUUUCACCUGCUGCUUGAGCAGCUCAUUCUGAGUCAGCAGUUCUUGUGGAGGAACCUUCCCGGCUGGCUCCAGAGUGCCAGCAAAGAUGGGUGGAGGGGAGGCCUGGACAUUCAGGGCCUCCUCCAGUGCCUUGUUCAGCCGCUGGAUCUCCUUCUCCUGGUACUCCCUCUGUCUGGUGACCGGCGCCAGCUGCUCCUGCAGGAAGCGCAUCCUCUGCUGCAGGUCCCGCACCUCCAUUCCCAGCCGGUCCUUCUCCGCCUCUUCUGUUUCGAUCCGGGAUUUGGCCAGCAGCAGCUUGCGGUCAAAAUCCCUCUGCUUCUGCUCCCUCUCCGACUCCAGCUCAGUCAGUGCCCGCCGUGCCUCGGCCAGCUCCUGGUGUAGGUCUGUCAUCUUCUGCUCAUACUUCUGCUUCAUGGCUCGAAAGUGCUGGUCCCACUGCUUGUUCACCUCCAGCAGCUCCCGGCGCUGGUGCUCCAGGAUCUUCACCUUCUUCUCCUUGGCCUCCAGCUCUCCUCUGCCCGCUGCCUUCUCCACCACCACCCCGCUCUGCUGCUGCUCAGCUGCCUCUCUCUUCGCACUCUCCUGGUUGCUAAGGGUCACCAUCCUCCG
rnacentral:lncRNA from 1 species